UACGUAGGGCGCAAGCGUUAUCCGGAAUCACUGGGCGUAAAGCGCACGUAGGCGGAUUGCUAAGUCAGGGGUGAAAUCCUGGAGCUCAACUCCAGAACUGCCUUUGAUACUGGCGAUCUCGAGUCCGGGAGAGGUGAGUGGAACUGCGAGUGUAGAGGUGAAAUUCGUAGAUAUUCGCAAGAACACCAGUGGCGAAGGCGGCUCACUGGCCCGGUACUGACGCUGAGGUGCGAAAGCGUGGGGAGCAAACAGG
rnacentral:rRNA from 1 species